GUCUUCUAGCAGAGCUUCGAGACAAACCAAAAUCGCCAGCCAAAUAUGAUGGAGAAGAAAAUAAAAUUCAAUUCUAGAUCGUCACUCCAUCGUAAUUUCUUCCCUCUUUUUCUCUGAUGAUCAAAUCUACGAUGUAUUUACUCGAAUUUGGAUUCAAAUUCCCUUCUGGAUGGUUUCAUCAAAGUGUAUUUCAUCUUCCUCUCUGGUUAUCAACUCAACAUCGUACUAAUUUGAUGGAUUCAUUGCAAGGUAAUGUUCCAGGUUUUCAUCCGCGUCGAAGUCCAAUAAUUAUCGACAAAGAGAUGCUCUUUCGUGUUUUCAUCUCUGUCUUAGUCCAAGAGUAAUCGAGCAACAAUACUGAGAUGCUCACUUAGAGCGGCGCCAUGUUCGCUAUAAAGUAAUACCAAACUCAGUGACCGAAGUCGAAAAGGAAGCACUUCUUGAAAAACGGCGUAAUCCUUAUCGUAGUCGGAAAAAAGAAUUGAACGCAGAAACACAGCAGAAACAAAUGAACAACUCCCUAUCACGGCUAGACCACAAGACCAUGGAGCAGGAACCAGGACACCAAGAUAUUAUGAAUAUAUGAUCCAACAAAGUGAUGACUCAACGGGUCUAAACUUUGAUCAAAGUCUUAAACAUACUGUACAGGACAAACGAAACAGCAGGCUUUCUGCUUUGGUGUUUGAACUUUGAUGCAAGUCUCAAGCCGCUAUGGAAGAUUUAGUUUAUUCAAUUAGUAGUGCUAACGGAUUGUUUUUUUUUUUUUGCUAAUCAAACUAUUACUUCCUGUUUGAUUUAUUUUUUUGAUGUUUAAUGACAAACGAUGCCUUUCUGUUUCAAUACACAUCCGGGUAUAU